rnacentral:lncRNA from 1 species
AAUACAAGCUGGGUCAUGAGGAGAUAAAAGCCACAAAUGGCGACCCUGAUCAAGAACACAAGCGUGUUUUGUGAGAUUAUGUGCAUCUAUAUUAGAUGCUCUACUUUAAAUUAAAAAAAGCAACUAUUAAAAGCCGAACUUCUAACAGAAAUCUCUCCGAUUACAGAUAAACAAACCCCUUCAGUACUGCCUUUAAUAUCAUCCAUCACCCAUUUACAGCCGCUAGCCACCACGAAGUUCUGGAGGGAUAAAUCUUGGGCCAACGCAAAGCGCCUCGCGGCAAGCAAUAGCAUCCAAAGCUGCCGCAUCCAGCACUACUGGAAUGACCAACGAUAACGAUGACGAUCCCAAGUAAAAGCCGCGUUCAUCCCCGCAAACUCGUGAGUCGUGGCGCCCUCACCCUCGUGGGGAAUUGAUGGCAGACCCGCAGACGUCGCAUUGAUCCGGAGCGAAAGCCCAUGCGCCCAGAGCCGCGACCGAUAUCUUCUAUCGGC